CCAAUAGCGUAUAUUAAAGUUGUUGCAGUUAAAAAGCUCGUAGUUGAAUUUUGGAUUCUGCCAGUUGGUCCAUCUUUUGAUGAGUACUGAUUGUGUGGGGUCUAUCCGCCUGGUAAUACGUAAUGUACUUUAUUGUAUGUUAUGGGUAGCCAGGACCUUUACCUUGAAAAAAUUAGAGUGUUUAAAGCAGGCUUAUGCCGGAAUACAUUAGCAUGGAAUAAUAGAAUAGGACGAUGUUGUUUUAUUUUGUUGGUUUCUAGGACAACCGUAAUGAUUAAUAGGGAUAGUUGGGGGCAUUAGUAUUCAAUUGUCAGAGGUGAAAUUCUUGGAUUUAUUGAAGACUUACUACUGCGAAAGCAUUUGCCAAGGAUGUUUUCAUUAAUCAAGAACGAAAGUUAGGGGAUCGAAGACGAUCAGAUACCGUCGUAGUCUUAACCAUAAACUAUGCCGACUAGGGAUCGGGCGAUGUUGUUUCCAUGACUCGCUCGGCACCUUAUG
rnacentral:rRNA from 1 species